rnacentral:rRNA from 1 species
GAUGAACGCUGGCGGCGUGCCUAAUACAUGCAAGUCGAGCGAAUUGACAGAGGUGCUUGCACCUCUCGAUUUUAGCGGCGGACGGGUGAGUAACACGUGGGUAACCUACCUAUAAGAGUGGGAUAACUUCGGGAAACCGGAGAUAUUACCGGAUAAUAUUUAGCUUCGCAUGAAGCAAUAGUGAAAGACGUGUCGGCGCUCACUUACUGCUGCGCCUGCGGUUUAUUAGCUAGUUGGUGAGGUAACGGCUCACCAAGGCAACGAUACAUAGCCGACCUGAGAGGGUGAUCGGCCACACUGGGACUGAGACACGGCCCAGACUCCUACGGGAGGCAGCAGUAGGGAAUCUUCCGCAAUGGACGAAAGUCUGACGGAGCAACGCCGCGUGAGUGAAGAAGGUUUUCGGAUCGUAAAACUCUGUUGUAAGGGAAGAACAAGUACGUUAGUAACUGAACGUACCUUGACGGUACCUUACCAGAAAGCCACGGCUAACUACGUGCCAGCCGCCGCGGUAAAAC